rnacentral:rRNA from 1 species
AGAUUGAACGCUGGCGGCGUGCUUAACACAUGCAAGUCGCGCGUGAAAGGACUUCGGUCCGAGUAAAGCGGCGCACGGGUGAGUAACGCGUGGAUGAUCUACCCGAUGAGUUAGGAAUAACGGCUGGAAACGGUCGCUAAUACCAGAUACGCUCCGAUUUCAACUUCGGGGGAAAGGUGGCCUCUGCUUGCAAGCUACUGCUCAUGGAUGAGUCCGCGUCCCAUUAGCUAGUUGGUGGGUAACGGCCCACCAAGGCGACGAUGGGUAGCCGGUCUGAGAGGAUGACCGGCCACACUGGGACUGGAACACGGCCCAGACUCCUACGGGAGGCAGCAGUGGGGAAUAUUGCGCAAUGGGCGAAAGCCUGACGCAGCGACGCCGCGUGAGGGAUGAAAGGUCCUCGGAUCGUAAACCUCUGUCAGGAGGGAAGAACCGCCACGGUGCUAAUCAGCCGUGGUCUGACGGUACCUCCAAAGGAAGCACCGGCUAACUCCGUGCCAGCAGCAGC